UACCAUCUGCUGCGUUUUCACAAUGGAUGGGCUGAGUUGGCAGCUAGAAAGGAGAGGUGAGGGACCCAGAAGAGGGACCCAGAUACUGCAGUGCUCUACUCUGGGGGACAGACCUGUGUGAAAUUUCCUGCACAUCUUAGUCACUUUCCUUGUCACUGGGACAAAACACCUGACACCCGAAAGUUAAAGGAGAGGCUUAUUUGGGCUCACACUUAGAAGGUUCAGCCCCUGCCUGGCCAGUGGCAUGGUCCAAGGGCCUGGACAGAGGACAGCUGUUGACAUCACAGUAGCAGAGAAAUAGAGUGGAGGGAGGGACCAGGAAGGGAAAUACACCCUACCUGUCUGGCCCUCGAUAACUAGUACCUUCAAACCAGGCCCAACCUCCCAACACCAAGCCAGUUGUAGCACCCCCAUAACCCAGUCUCCUUCAGUAAGCCCCAUCUUUGAACACACCAGGCUUUGGGGGUAUCCAGGUAGAAACCAUAGCACCACACCAGAGGGAGGGGUUGAGAUCUCCCUUCCAGCAGCUCCGUGGGCCUCUGAGGAGGGCCUUGGUACAUGCUAUCCUGGCAGCUGUUUUCCUCCUCCACCAAGUCCACUGCUCUUCAGUGAAGCCUCGCAGCCCCUGUGGCCUGGAGAGAGUGGUGGCUCCUCCAGGCUCGGUGGGGAUGACCACAGGGACUGACCCAAUGCAUUGUGGGGUGGGGAUGUCGUGCUGAGAUGAAGACGUGCAGGCUGCUUUGGUGACUGUGGAGAGAAGCAGCUCACUCCCUGUGGGCUGCUGGCAAAAUUCAGAUCCCGGAAAUGCCCAUCACAUGGGGAGGUUUGCCAACAACACUGCAAUUCCGAGGAGUUUCACCGAUCUCGAGAUCGG
rnacentral:lncRNA from 1 species